UCCCACCUUGAUGAUAAUGGACUGAACCUCUGAACCUUCAGCUCUCAGAAUAUUUAUGAGAGUACCACGCUUCUCAUGUUGCAAAGAAGGCCAAUUCAAAAUACUCAUGACUCUUCAGAUUAUUGAUGCUUGACCAGCAAGGUUACAAUGAGGGCUGGAGAUCCAACUCAGCUUCACCAGUGCUGGUCUAGUACUCUACCACUGAACUAUACUCCCAGCCUUCUACAGUGAUUCAUAGGAAGAGUUGUUUUCUACCAAAUUCAUGUUUAUUACAUAUAUGUUUAAAACA
rnacentral:sRNA from 1 species